rnacentral:rRNA from 1 species
UGUUUGGGAAUGCAGCUCAAAAUUGGAGGUAAAUCCCUUCUAAGGCUAAAUACUGGCGAGAGACCGAUAGCGAACAAGUACCGUGAGGGAAAGAUGAAAAGAACUUUGAAAAGAGAGUUAAAAAGUGCUUGAAAUUGUUGAGAGGGAAGCGAUUGGAGGGUGUGAGUGCGUCUAGGCUUAUGCGUCUCUAACGAGCCGCUGUAUGUGCUAGAUGCUGGUCAGCAUGGGUUAGUCGGGCGGGAUAACAGCAUGGGUUGAUACCGUGUCUAUGCCGUUUGAUUGAUCAAGGUGUGAAUGGCGCUUAGUCCUUCGGGAACUGCGUCAUCAAGAUGCUGGCAGAAGCCCUUCAAUCGGCCCGUCUUGAAACACGGACC